rnacentral:rRNA from 1 species
AUUGAACGCUGGCGGCAUGCCUUACACAUGCAAGUCGAACGGUAACGGGCCUUCGGGUGCCGAUGAGUGGCGAACGGGUGAGUAAUACAUCGGAACGUGCCCGAUCGUGGGGGAUAACGAGGCGAAAGCUUUGCUAAUACCGCAUACGAUCUACGGAUGAAAGCAGGGGACCGCAAGGCCUUGCGCGGACGGAGCGGCCGAUGGCAGAUUAGGUAGGUGGUGGGAUAAAAGCUUACCAAGCCGACGAUCUGUAGCUGGUCUGAGAGGAUGAUCAGCCACACUGGGACUGAGACACGGCCCAGACUCCUACGGGAGGCAGCAGUGGGGAAUUUUGGACAAUGGGCGCAAGCCUGAUCCAGCCAUGCCGCGUGCAGGAUGAAGGCCUUCGGGUUGUAAACUGCUUUUGUACGGAACGAAAAGCCUUCUUUUAAUACAGGAGGGUCAUGACGGUACCGUAAGAAUAAGCACCGGCUAACUACGUG